rnacentral:rRNA from 1 species
CCCUUAGAUGUUCUGGGCAGCACGCGCGCUACAAUGGUCUUCGCAAACGGAUGCAUUCUCGAAGGAGAAUGCCAAUCUUGGAAUCUAUGCCUUGGUCGGGACAGUUGCUUGCAAUUUUUCGACUCGAACCAGGAAUUCCUUGUAAUCGUGAUUCAUCACAUCACGAUGAAUACGUCCCUGCCCUUUGUACACACCGCCCGUCGCUCCUACCGAUCGAAGAGUUAGGUGAAUUGUUUUGAUCGAUAAGAUUUGACUAUGGUCAACUCUCCUUGUGAAAUUCUGUGAAUCUGACUGUUUAGAGGAAGGAAAAGUCGUAACA